rnacentral:rRNA from 1 species
GAUAUGCUUGUCUCAAAGAUUAAGCCAUGCAUGUCUCAGUGCAAGCCAAAUUAAGGUGAAACCGCGAAUGGCUCAUUAAAUCAGUUAUGGUUCCUUGGACUUAAAAAUUUACUUGGAUAACUGUGGUAAUUCUAGAGCUAAUACAUGCACUCAGUCCCGACCAGCGAUGGAAGGGACGCUUUUAUUAGAUCAAAACCAAUCGGKGGGUUUCCCGCCGUGUCUUUUGGUGACUCUGGAUAACUUUGGGCGGAUCGCACGGUCCUUGCACCGGCGACGUACCCUUCAAAUGUCUGCCUUAUCAACUUGCGAUGGUAGGCUCUGCGCCUACCAUGGUUGUAACGGGUGACGGGGAAUCAGGGUUCGAUUCCGGAGAGGGAGCCUGAGAAACGGCUACCACAUCCAAGGAAGGCAGCAGGCGCGCAAAUUACCCACUCCCGGCACGGGGAGGUAGUGACGAAAAAUAACGAUACGGGACUCAUCCGAGGCCCCGUAAUCGGAAUGAGAACACUUUAAAUCCUUUAUCGAGUACCUAUUAGAGGGCAAGUCUGG